ACGCUGGCGGCGUGCAGAAGAAAUGCAAGGCGAGCGAACAGACGAGGAGCUUGCUCCUCUGACGUUAGCGGCGGACGGGUGAGUAACACGUGGAUAACCUACCUAUAAGACUGGGAUAACUUCGGGAAACCGGAGCUAAUACCGGAUAAUAUAUUGAACCGCAUGGUUCAAUAGUGAAAGACGGUUUUGCUGUCACUUAUAGAUGGAUCCGCGCCGCAUUAGCUAGUUGGUAAGGUAACGGCUUACCAAGGCGACGAUGCGUAGCCGACCUGAGAGGGUGAUCGGCCACACUGGAACUGAGACACGGUCCAGACUCCUACGGGAGGCAGCAGUAGGGAAUCUUCCGCAAUGGGCGAAAGCCUGACGGAGCAACGCCGCGUGAGUGAUGAAGGUCUUCGGAUCGUAAACCUCUGUUAUUAGGGAAGAACAAAUGUGUAAGUAACUAUGCACGUCUUGACGGUACCUAAUCAGAAAGCCACGGCUACCUACGUC
rnacentral:rRNA from 1 species